rnacentral:lncRNA from 13 species
AUGCAAUUUAGAAAAGUUAAUAGGCUUUUUUUUUUUUUUUUUUUGAGACAGGGUCUUUCUCUGCCAUCCAGGCUGGAGUGCGGUGGCAUGAUCAUGGCUCACUGCAGCCUCAACCUCUCAGGCUCAAAUGAUCCUCCGAUCUCAGCCCCCAAAGUCACUGGAACUACAGGAUCACAUCCAGGACACCUGGAAUUGACAAUAAAUACAUGUAUUUGUCACAUUUCCUUGGGUGCUCUUCAUUGUGACAGUUUUUCAGACAUUUUUUUUUUGAUGACCUUGACAGUUGUGAGAAUUAUUGAGACGGGGUUUCACCGUGUUAGGAUGGUCUCGAUCUCCUGACCUCUUGACCCACCUGCCUUGGCC